GGAGUGCAGUGGUGCAAUCUCAGCUCACGGCAGCCUCGACCUCCUGAGGGCAAGCGAUCCUCCCACCUCAGCACCCCCUGCUCCUCCAGUAGCUGGGACUACAGGUGCACACCACCACGCCCAGCUAAUUUUUUUGUAUUUUUGGUAGAGACAGGGUUUUGCCAUGUUGGCCAGGUUGGUCUCAAACUCCUCACCUCAAGGAUCCACCUGCCUCGGCCUCCCAAAGGGCUGGGUUCACAGGCUUGAGCUACUGGGCCUGGCCAAAGUCUUUCACAGAUUUUUAUAAGAAGGUUAGAGAAGUCACCCUUAGACCAGAGCUCUGCCUCUGACAUUGGCCCCUACAGAGGGGUUGUGAGUCGCUUUAUACAGCAGAGGCCCCAGGCUGGGAGAAGGAUUCCCACUCAAUAUUCUUUCUACGUUUCAGAACUUUCUACUUCAGAUCCCUGAAGGAGCCUGGAAUCGGAGCACACCCCAGUGAGGGCACGGCAAUCUCUGCAUUUUCACAAGCACGGCAAGUGACUCUGAUCACACUAAAGUUCCAGAAUUUACUCAAGGUGAGGGCCUGAACCUACCUUAACCUAGAAUAUUUUUACUCUGCCAGGCAUGCAGCUUCCCUCUGGGAUGAAAAUCUUUCUCUCUUUCUCACUCUACCUCUUUUUGGCUCUGAAAUCCUCUCCUCACCAUCUCUUUGCAAAGGAAUUCCCCAUCCUUUUCAGUUGUCUUUUCCUUUCUCUCUCCAGCCUCCAACCCCCUCCCUGAGCUAAUCCCACCGUCUCAGUUUCACCCCUUCCCCUCUCUAGGGGCAGUUGGGUCAAGCUAGGGGAUGAGUCAUCCUAGGUGGAGGAGGGGAUUUCAGGUCCAUAAAUGGGCAAAAACUCAGAUUUCAGGUUUCUGUGUCUAGGAAAAGGCCAGUCUGUCCCCUCUAUCUCUCCACCCCCAAAGGAAUUCCCCAGGGAAGAAGAGGAAAGAGUCUGGGGCUGGCUUUGACCGGAUGGAAUCCUAGAAAUAGCAGAGCUUUUUAGGAGAUAGGUUUCAGUGUGACUCAGCUUCCCUGAUAAACAGACACUGCCGGCCAGGAUUUUCCCAGCCCAAGAGGCCAAAACCCCCACUUCCCAGUGGAAGUGUUCAGCUCUGCCUUUGGAGUUCUGGGCCCAGCCAGCACCACUGCCUCCAUCCUCCUCACCAUUCUCUUUCCAUGAUCAGAAUUCGAGCUCCAAGCUGCAUUAACCUGAGCUCUGGCCUGUGAGGGCACCUAGCUAUUG
rnacentral:lncRNA from 1 species